rnacentral:rRNA from 1 species
AUUGAACGCUGGCGGCAUGCUUUACACAUGCAAGUCGAACGGCAGCGCGGGCUUCGGCCUGGCGGCGAGUGGCGAACGGGUGAGUAAUACAUCGGAACGUGCCCAGUAGUGGGGGAUAGCUCGGCGAAAGCCGGAUUAAUACCGCAUACGACCUGAGGGUGAAAGCGGGGGAUCUUCUGACCUCGCGCUAUUGGAGCGGCCGAUGGCAGAUUAGCUAGUUGGUGGGGUAAAGGCCUACCAAGGCGACGAUCUGUAGCUGGUCUGAGAGGACGACCAGCCACACUGGGACUGAGACACGGCCCAGACUCCUACGGGAGGCAGCAGUGGGGAAUUUUGGACAAUGGGCGAAAGCCUGAUCCAGCAAUGCCGCGUGUGUGAUGAAGGCCUUCGGGUUGUAAAGCACUUUUGGCGGGAACGAAAAGGACUGUGCCAAUACCACGGUUCGAUGACGGUACCCGCAGAAUAAGCACCGGCUAACUACGUG